rnacentral:rRNA from 1 species
CUGAAGAGUUUGAUCAUGGCUCAGAUUGAACGCUGGCGGCAGGCCUAACACAUGCAAGUCGAGCGGAUGAAGGGAGCUUGCUCCUGGAUUCAGCGGCGGACGGGUGAGUAAUGCCUAGGAAUCUGCCUGGUAGUGGGGGAUAACGUCCGGAAACGGGCGCUAAUACCGCAUACGUCCUGAGGGAGAAAGUGGGGGAUCUUCGGACCUCACGCUAUCAGAUGAGCCUAGGUCGGAUUAGCUAGUUGGUGGGGUAAAGGCCUACCAAGGCGACGAUCCGUAACUGGUCUGAGAGGAUGAUCAGUCACACUGGAACUGAGACACGGUCCAGACUCCUACGGGAGGCAGCAGUGGGGAAUAUUGGACAAUGGGCGAAAGCCUGAUCCAGCCAUGCCGCGUGUGUGAAGAAGGUCUUCGGAUUGUAAAGCACUUUAAGUUGGGAGGAA